UAAGCCUAAAUACUACCUGAUGACCGAUAGCGGACAAGUACCGUGAGGGAAAGGUGAAAAGUACCCCGGAAGGGGAGUGAAAUAGAACAUGAAAGCUUAAGCUUACAAGCAGUGGGAGAACGACUAAACGUUUGACCUCGUACCUGUUGAAGAAUGAGCCGGCGACUUGUAGGUAGUGGCAGGUUAAGGUAGAAAAUACUGGAGCCAUAGUGAAAGCGAGCCUGAAUAGGGCGUUAGUCACUGUUUACAGACCCGAACCCGGAUGAUCUAACCAUGGCCAGUGUGAAGCUUAGGUAACACUAAGUGGAGGCGCGAACCGACUGAUGUUGAAAAAUCAGCGGAUGAGUUGUGGUUAGGGGUGAAAUGCCAAUCGAAUCCGGAGCUAGCUGGUUCUCCCCGAAAUGCGUUUAGGCGCAGCGGUUAACGCUAUAGCUUAGGGGUAAAGCACUGUUUCGGUGCGGGCUGCUAACGCGGUACCAAAUCGAUGCAAACUCUGAAUACUAAGUGUGUAGUUAACCAGUAAGACUGUGGGGGAUAAGCUCCAUUGUCAAGAGGGAAACAGCCCAGACCACCAGCUAAGGCCCCCAAAUAAUUACUAAGUGGCAAAGGAUGUGGGAACACUGAGACAAUCAGGAGGUUCGCCUAGAAGCAGCUAUCCUUUAAAGAGUGCGUAAUAGCUCACUGAUCAAGUGCACCUGCGCCGAAAAUGACUGGGACUAAGUAAUUUGCCGAAGCUGUGGGAUUUUUAAAAAUCGGUAGGGGAGCGUUCCACCUUAGAUAGAAGCAUUAGCGUAAGCGGAUGUGGACGAAGUGGAAGUGAGAAUGUCGGCUUGAGUAGCGAAAACAUUGGUGAGAAUCCAAUGCCCCGAAAACCUAAGGUUUCCUCCGGAAGGCUCGUCCGCGGAGGGUGAGUCAGGACCUAAGGUGAGGCCGAAAGGCGUAACUAAUGGACAACGGGUUAAUAUUCCUGUACCAUUUAUUACUGGUAUCGAGGGACGGAGAAGGCUAAACCAUCCGGAUGUUGGUUACCGGUUUAAACGUUAAAGGUGUUGAGAAACGGAGAAAACGUUUUGAGCUAAGGCGUGAAUACGAGAUACUAAGGUAUCGAAGUGGUUGAUGUCAUACUUCCAAGAAAAGCUCGAAAUACCAUAAGUAAUAAAUGCCUGUACCUUAAACCGACACAGGUAGGUAGGUAGAGUAUACCAAGGGGCGCGAGAUAACUCUCUCUAAGGAACUCGGCAAAAUAACCUCGUAACUUCGGAAGAAGAGGUACCCUUGCAAGAGGGUUGCAAUAACCAGACCCUGGCGACUGUUUACCAAAAACACAGGUCUCCGCAAAUUCGUAAGAUUAAGUAUGGAGGCUGACGCCUGCCCAGUGCCGGAAGGUUAAAGAAGUUGGUCAAUCCUCGGAUGAAGCUGGCGUCUGAAGCCCCGG
rnacentral:rRNA from 1 species